rnacentral:rRNA from 1 species
AUUGAACGCUGGCGGCAGGCCUAACACAUGCAAGUCGAACGAGUGGCGGACGGGUGAGUAAUGUCUGGGCAACUGCCUGAUGGAGGGGGAUAACUACUGGAAACGGUAGCUAAUACCGCAUACCAUCAGAUGUGCCCAGAUGGGAUUAGCUAGUUGGUGGGGUAACGGCUCACCAAGGCCGCGAUCCCUAGCUGGUCUGAGAGGAUGACCAGCCACACUGGAACUGAGACACGGUCCAGAGGCCUACGGGGGGCAGCAGGGGGGAAGUGUGCACAAUGGGCGCAAGCCUGAUGCAGCCAUGCCGCGUGUAUGAAGAAGGCCUGCGGGUUGUAAAGUACUUUCAGCGGGGAGGCGUUACCCGCAGAAGAAGCACCGGCUAACUCCGUGCCAGCCGCCGCGGUAAUUC